UCAUCUAGGCUAGAUACGACCAUGAGACCGAUACCGUGAAGAAAAGUUGAAAAGUACUUUGAAGAGUUAACGAGUACGUGAAACCGUUCAGAGGUAAACCUAAGAAACCCAAAAAAUCGAACGGGGAGAUUCAUCGUCAACGAAACUGGCUUCGCGUCGGUGGGCGAUAACCCCGUGGUGUGUCCUAAGCGGCACGCGCGUGCGGGCACGCUACCGAACGCCGAUGUCCGGUUUUCGUCGUCGUGCACUUCUCUCCUAGUAGAACGUCGCGACUCGCUGUGUGUCGGUCACCGACCCGGGUGCGGUUACUGUCACGUCGCCCGUAAAAACGGCGCGCGGCAAACACCCCCGGUCGCCCGACCAGCUGCCCGGCGGUACACGUACGUAUCAGGC
rnacentral:rRNA from 1 species